UCAACCAUCAAGCUUGGCUUGUAGUUGGACUUUGGUUAAGGAAGUACCUCGACCGGUCUAAAAUAUAAUGAACGAGUACUUAACAGCCCUCGAUGCAACGAGCUUUUUCAAGCACGCAUUGUACGGUUGGUGAGCGUCGUUCGGUUACUCCUUACUUUUCUAC
rnacentral:misc_RNA from 1 species